CAUAACUGAACAGUUAACCAAUCUUUUUAGUAUAUGUAGUUUUGUACAUAUUAUUAUUAUUUAUCUGGAAAGAAACUCACAUGACCUGCUGCCAACUUUAAUAAAAAUAUAUUAUCUUCUCAUACAUCGUUUUGCUAUUGAUGUUAUAUUAAAUAGCAAUCAAAUUGAUUACUAUUUUGAAAAUGUAUAAAUGAAGAUUCAUAUUGUCUUGAGUGCUGUUUUUAAUAUAAAAAGAAUGUUGAGUUUUCAGAGUCUUUAUUGUCAUUUUUUGUGAUAGGACCCUACCAGACUAUAUUUGAAUAUGGCAUACCCAUGAAUUCUGGAACUGUUAUUCCUUAACCCAGUUUGGAGGAUAAGAGCUUACCAACUAGUUAUAAAUAUGCUGAGGUGAUGUAUUGCAAAAUAGCCAACAUACAACAAUAUGGAUGACCCUCUGUCUGGUCAACAGGAGUUUAAAUAUGGACGGGACAGUGAUGUGGCAGCUUUUCCCUGGCUCAUUCACCUCUUGCCUUCAUUUGUGAAAGGAAGAAAGACUGGAGAGGGUCGAUGUGCAACUGAAGCUACUGAUUGUGCUGUGUGAUGAGCAUCAAUCCAUGCUUUGAGGGGGAUGAAUCAGCACAGCCCUGCCUGCACUGCGUUGGGAACAGAAGUUGCAUCCAGAAUUUUUGCAUCAUUCUGGACCAAAACGCCAUUCCCUCCAUGAUGAAGACCACUGAUGCAGCCUUCCACUACAUCAUGAGUAAAACAACUACAGAACUAAAUACCAGGUUGGAACGUAUUUAAGAAAAAUGAAACUUCUUUUGAAUUGAAAUGUCUGUUUUGUUAUGGAAAAAUCUUUAGUAUUGUGAAGGAUAAGCAUUUCUGCCUGCCAGUAAGGUAAUUGGAGGGUAUUUUAAUGUUCAAGUUUUGAGUAGGGUGGCUAAUUUUUUUUAAACUCUCAUUUGAUAUAUUAAAGACCUUAUAAUAAGUGGUUUUCAAUGUCACUGCGCUGUGGUAUAAGAUAACUUUCAUUAUUCCAUACUGUAUUCUGUUUCUAAUUGUAGCUGAGGUAUUUAAAUAAGCAGUAUUAAAUGCAAAGUGUUGUGUGUAUCAAUGUAAAUAUUAAAUGUGAUGUACUUUAAUAAAAAGAGGUUUUGCAAUAUUUCUUGUCAUUUGUCUUUUAUAGAAACAACCCAUUAGCAACAAAAGUGGCUAUUAAUCAGUAUUUUAACACUUAACAUUGUUGAAUUCACAUUACACUGGUGUUGACCUUAAAUUAGGAGUGUUAAUUUUUAACACUGUAUUUCUGUGCCAACACCAGUGUAGUGUGGAAACAACAAUGAAUAGUGUUGAACAAAGUGUAAAAUUUAACAAUAUUGAGUGUUAAAUUAACAUAUAAUGAGUGUUGUUAAAUUAACACUACACUUUUGACUAAAUUAACACAGUGUAGUGUGGACACAUAUACACACUUUUCAAGUGUUAAAUUUGACACCCUGGGUGUUAUUUUAACACCAGUGAUUUUGCUGUGUAGAUGUGAACGUUUACUGUGCAAUUAUACAAUGCCUCCAGUACCACAUUCAUUUUAUCUAUGGCGACAUCUGGUGGCAAAGAAUUAUAAAGCAAAAUUUUGAUAUUCAUCUGUUAUCAAUUUUAUGCAAUAUAUUAACGGCAUUAGUGAUCCAUUGUCACCACUUUCUUUCACUUUAGAUCAGGAAUACACACCUAACAUUUUACUCAUUUUUCAUUUACAAAUUUUUAAGUAGAAUCAACUUGGAUUUACAAGUCAUUUCAACUUUACAAGUAAUGAUUUGUUGUAACUUACAAAAUAAA